GAUGAAGAACGUAGCGAAAUGCGAUACGUAAUGUGAAUUGCAAAUUCAGUGAAUCAUCGAGUCUUUGAACGCACAUUGCCCCCCCUGGUAUUCCGGGGGGCAUGCCUGUCCGAGCGUCAUUGCUGCCCUCAAGCACGGCUUGUGUGUUGGGCCCCGUCCUCCGAUCCCGGGGGACGGGCCCGAAAGGCAGCGGCGGCACCGCGUCCGGUCCUCGAGCGUAUGGGGCUUUGUCACCCGCUCUGUAGGCCCGGCCGGCGCUUGCCGAUCAACCCAAAUUUUUUAUCCAGGUUGACCUCGGAUCAGGUAGGGAUACCCGCUGAACUUAAGCAUAUCAAUAAGCGGAGGA
rnacentral:misc_RNA from 1 species